rnacentral:lncRNA from 1 species
GUUUGAACAAAUAUUCAUUUGGUAUGUGUACAAAAAUAGCAAGCUUUUAUCUGAUUUUUUUAUAAUUAGCGGGAUGGAAUUACACUUUUAGAUACAAAAUAGGGUCAUACAAUUGAGUUAAGUAAUGAUUUGGUCCACCUAAAAGAAGGUUAACAAUUAUCAUUUCGGAAGCUGUCAGCCUUUCAAAACCCCCUUAACAUAAAAUUAUUCAUAUUCUUAUUUCUAUAAUUUUGGUAAAAUUUAUCCAAAAAGAGUACAACACACUGUUAAAAUAUUAUUCAGAAAGUGGGAUUUUUUUAAUCUUUCAUUUAUUGUCUCAAAGCAAUGCGCUACGAAAUACCUGUGGUCUCGGACCAGUUAUAUAUAAGACAUAUAUUACCAAAAC